GCUUUCCCGCCGGCGGCGGCGGCGGCCGCGGCCGCGGGCCGGGGAGACGGCCUUGCAGAGCGCGGGAUCCCAGGGCUGCGAGGGUGACCCAGAGCAAGCCCUGGCGCACGCGCGCUCCGCUCGACGCGGUGCUCCCGGGGUGCGUCUCUGCGAAACGCUCGGCCCUAACCGGCCCUGCACCCGGCGGGGGCGGCGGGCACUGAGCCGCUGGCUCUCGGCUGCCGCGAACAAAGGGCGCAGGAUUUAACCUCGGCUCUCUGGGCGUGCCUUUGCAGGCCCUCGUGCGCUCUGCUGGGGAAAAGAAAAAAAGCUUCUGCCAAUGCCAGUGCAGCUGUGUGUCCGCUGUAGUUGUGCAGGUUAAUUCUGCGCGAGCGAAAACACCGAGAAAGACGUUCAGGCACUGGAUAUCCACGCAGGCCUUAAGGAACCCCUGUGCAGCCUUGUGCCACGAGAGGAGUGGAUUCACUAACUUUCACGCUGAUUCCUCAAACCAAGUUGUUUCAUUUUUGGCCAAAACUCUUUAUGUUGAUCACUUUCCUUGAGUACCUACUGUCUGCCUAGUGUUGGAGACAUGGAAAUAAACGAUAAUUGUUUUGCCUGAAAACAGCACAGUUUAGUGGAGAGGACAGACAACUGAGCAGAUACUUACCAAAGCAUGCUUAGUGUUAGGGCACAGGCCCUGGGAAACGAGAAAGAUGCGCCUCCGACAGGAAGUCCAGGCUACAUCUGGAGGGAGGAGAGGCCUGCAGAGCCUGAUGAGGACUGCCACCAUCACCUCCCCCGAAGGAGGACCAGCUGGAGCUGAGGAGCAAGGUGGACUGAGAGAGGAGAGUGAGACCAUAAAGAGGCUUUGCUCUUCCAGAGUUUGGAUUUUGCCCCCAUAAGGCAGAGGGGAGCCCUUGAAAGGGGAAGGUGGAGUGAUGGAUGCAGUGUUCUCUCAGAAGGAUGGUGCAAAGUAGUAAGAGGAGACAGGGAAAGAAUGACCCCAGCCCCCUGGGAAAAUGAGGGCUGAAGGUGGUGGCGAUAGAGAAGGAAGAACAGAUGUUUAGGAAGUGGAGUGGAAGGGCUGAGGCAGAGUAACUGUGAGGUUAAUAAAGGGGGUGUCAAGGAGGAUGCCCACAGCCUGACUUGAUGAAUGACCUGGGUGGUGGGUUUAUGAGUCAACGUAGGGGAUUUAUGGGGAAGAAGGCGUGGGUUUGAGGGAAGACAGAAUGAUGGUUAACACUUGUCGCUUACCAUGUGCCAACGUCUGCUGACAUGCUAUUCUGUACUCUCCGUAACAGGCUUCUGGGUGAGGUGUCCAUUAGUAAUGCCCUCAUUUUAUAAUUCAGGGAGUGAGUUAAUUAAUGUGCCCAAGGUCACACAGCUGGAUCAUUUCCCUUUGGUGCCUGUGGAGUUUGAGCUGCGCCUGGGACAAGUAAGUGAGGAUGUCUAGGAGGCAGUUGGGUAAACACUUGCAGAGUCAGGAGCGAUGGCUGAGAUGAUAGAAAUCUGGGAGUCAUUAGUGCACAGCUAGUGGUGGAAGGAGCUGAAAUAGAUAGGGGGAAAAAGCCCAGGAACACGGGUAUGUAAGGGAUAAGUUGGAGGCAAGAAGAGGUGAAGAGAGAGCUCUGAAGUGAUCAGCUCUGUCUGGUGCUUGGAGUAGAAGUCCAGCAAGAUAAGAAUUGGAAAGUGCCUGACGGGUGCUACAUGCAGGGAGCUUGUCCUGCGUGUAGGCUGGCGUGGUGAGGGCAAAAGCUAGACUGAUGUGUAUCAAAGAGGGGAAGGCAGGCAGGAGAAAGUUUAUAGAAACUUGGCUGUGAAGGCAAGUUGUGAAGACAACAGAAAAAACCUGCAGGAGGAAGUGAGAGUGUUUGCUUGUGUGUUGUUUUGUUUUGAGAUGAGAGUAAUGUACUCUUUUUUAAAAUUAUUUUAUUUUAUUAUUAUUAUACUUUAAGUUUUAGGGUACAUGUGCACAAUGUGCAGGUUUGUUACAUAUGUAUACAUGUGCCAUGUUGGUGUGCUGCACCCAUUAACUCGUCAUUUAGCAUUACGUAUAUCUCCAAAUGCUAUCCCUCCCCCAGAGUAAUGUACUCUUAAUUACUUGUUAAAGGAACAAAGAAAGUAGUUUUCAAAUUUUAUUUUCGGGUCCACUCAUCUUCUACUUCAUUACCACUUCCUAUCACUACUUUUUAAUCUUCCAACUGAACUACCAUUAUAUUUUCCAAAUCCAUCUUGUUUCUGUAACAGCUGUCAUCCGCAAGACCACUAACAUUGCAUUAGAAAGUACAGACAUGAGGCUCGCGCGGUGGCUCAUGCCUGUAAUCCCAGAAUUUUUGGAGGCUGAGGCAGGCAGAUCACUUGAGGUCAGGAGUUCGAGACCAGCCUCGCCAAAAUGGUGAAACCUGGUCUCUACCAAAAAUAUAAAAAAUUAACCAGGUGUGGUGGCACGUGCCUGUAAUCCCAGCUACU
rnacentral:lncRNA from 1 species